rnacentral:rRNA from 1 species
CCUACGGGGGGCUGCAGUGGGGAAUAUUGCACAAUGGGCGCAAGCCUGAUGCAGCAACGCCGCGUGCGGGAUGACGGCCUUCGGGUUGUAAACCGCUUUCAGUAGGGACGAAGGGUGACUGACGGUACCUACAGAAGAAGGACCGGCUAACUACGUGCCAGCAGCCGCGGUGAUACGUAGGGUCCGAGCGUUGUCCGGAAUUAUUGGGCGUAAAGGGCUUGUAGGCGGUCCGUCGCGUCAGAAGUGAAAACUCAGGGCUUAACCCUGAGCCUGCU